UACGGAGGAUCCAAGCGUUAUCCGGAAUCAUUGGGUUUAAAGGGUCCGUAGGCGGUUUAAUAAGUCAGUGGUGAAAGCCCAUCGCUCAACGGUGGAACGGCCGUUGAUACUGUUAAACUUGAAUUAUUAGGAAGUAACUAGAAUAUGUAGUGUAGCGGUGAAAUGCUUAGAGAUUACAUGGAAUACCAAUUGCGAAGGCAGGUUACUACUAAUGGAUUGACGCUGAUGGACGAAAGCGUGGGUAGCGAACAGG
rnacentral:rRNA from 1 species